rnacentral:rRNA from 1 species
CAACGUGGGUAACCUGCCCAAGAGAUCGGGAUAACACCUGGAAACAGAUGCUAAUACCGGAUAACAAUAGAUGAUGCCUAUCAACUGUUUAAAAGAUGGUUCUGCUAUCACUCUUGGAUGGACCUGCGGUGCAUUAGCUAGUUGGUAGGGUAACGGCCUACCAAGGCGAUGAUGCGUAGCCGAGUUGAGAGACUGAUCGGCCACAUUGGGACUGAGACACGGCCCAAACUCCUACGGGAGGCAGCAGGU